CUGUAGACUAGGUUGGCGGGUUAGCCCUCCGCUGUUUGCAAGCGGGCUUUAUGCAGACUGCAAGAAGGCGAGUGAUUGAAUGUCAAAAAGUCUUUAUUCGGACGUUGACGCUUUGCCUGUUUUGAUCUUGCAGAUGCGAAACGGGUCAGGUCUUGAUCGAAGCAGCCCUAAACAUUUGUUGAGAUGCUUGACAGAAAACAAAGCAGAGAAAGAAUAGAGGAAGCUUUUUGGUUUUUAUGAGCAAACCUUCGAGUCUACAC
rnacentral:misc_RNA from 1 species